CUUUUUUAGGCGGGGGCCUUCCGUUUAAUAAUUCAGUAAUUAGAUGCACUGCUGUCAGCUGUGAAAUCCCUAACAGCUUUGCAAUGACAACAUAUUGAAGGCUUUGUGGUCCUCCAAGGUCUCUCUCGAUGUCUUUAACAGGAAGGACAGAGGUAGGUGAGAGCCUCAUUCAGGUGUGUGCCAACCCAGGUGUGGAGGCGGCUGUGGGUUUAUAGCCAAUGCCUUCAUUUCCUCUCUUUCAGAUCACAUUAGCUGGGAAAACCUAGGCAUGGCCUGAGAGAGUGGAAAAGAGUAAAAGUAAAAUGCCUUAUCAUCCAUGCACUAUGUCUCUGGCUGAGACUUUCGCCAAGGGGUCAUUCAGUGAACAUCACCUUGCUGGCGAUGCACAGAGCUGUCUCAACAUGUCAUCGUGUAAAGUCUGUCUGCACAAAGAUGUUUAAAAACAUGAUGUUAAAGACAAAUUUUUCAACUAGAACCCUCAAGAAAUGUCACUUCUGUGUCUUGCAAAGAGAGCCAGCAUUUUCUCUACGUAAACAUCUGCUGGGAACAUUUUAAGGGGGAAGUAUUUUAAAUAAUGACAUUUGUAGCUUCUUGUCUUUAAUAAGUUUGAAAAAAAAGGGAAAUGGGUUUGUGAUACAUUUCAUUGACAUGGAUCAAAUUGGCUGAUCAGAAAGUGAAAACUUUAACAUUAUGUUAGGUGGAAAUGGUUAAAAUUGUCUGUAUCAAUCAUACCUGAGAAGCACUCAUAAAUCAUGGGUUUCUUUAACUCCAAAAAACGCCAAGGGUUCAUUGUAAUGCUCACUUGCUUGUGGCAAUGAUACUAUGUUUAUAUGUAAACAAUUGGAUUUUCUAUUAAAUUAAGAGAAAAAAAAAAAACAACAAAAGCAAGAGUCAGGGAACCAUAAGUUAGCUAUACAAUAUGAACAAAGCAAAUUCAUUUGUGAUUAGAAUGGAAACUUCAUUUUAUCUUAACCAAUGUAGAUGUUUGGGGAUAAUUCUCUGUAGAAAAUGCAAGAUAUAUAGCUAGGCUUUUUAAAGUUCUAAGAAAGAGACACAUGCAGAUUGCCUUUGGUAAUAGGUAUUUAUGGCCAGGAUACCCUAGGAUGUAAUUUCAGAAGUAAUGCUGUCUUGUACUCUGGAUUUCACUACUUAAAAGAACUGGGGGUACUGCAGGCAUUAUGAAGUAUGACAAUGACUCAGUAUAAAGGUAGUUUAGUAGCUUUCAGAUUAGAAACUAAGUUCAAAUGAUUUAUCUUUAUUCACUUUCCCAACCUCAUUACUUCUUCAAAUAAAUAAUCUGAUUGAUGGCUUUGUAACUAUCCC
rnacentral:lncRNA from 1 species